rnacentral:rRNA from 1 species
ACGUAUGGUGCAAGCGUUAUCCGGAUUUACUGGGUGUAAAGGGAGCGCAGGCGGUCUGGCAAGUCUGAUGUGAAAGCCCGGGGCUCAACCCCGGGACUGCAUUGGAAACUGUCAGACUAGAGUGUCGGAGAGGUAAGUGGAAUUCCUAGUGUAGCGGUGAAAUGCGUAGAUAUUAGGAGGAACACCAGUGGCGAAGGCGGCUUACUGGACGAUAACUGACGCUGAGGCUCGAAAGCGUGGGGAGCAAACAG